UAUUCUCCAUAUUAUAAAAUUAGUUGAUAAAGAUUUCAUCCUUCAACCCUAUAUAUAGGAUAAUGUACUUAAUUUUUUUUUAAUUUUCUCAAGAUCAUAGUCUCUAAAAAAAAAAAAUAUGAUCAGUUUUAGCGAAACAACAGAAAAAGAAAGUGAAGACCAAAAGGAUGAUGGAGAAGAAAUAUCUCUACAAUUUUUAUAAGGUCGAGUCAGUAAUUAACCAAAAAGUUUCUCC
rnacentral:lncRNA from 1 species